AACCCCACUCCCCAACUCUAAACCCUAAAACCUAAACUCUAAACCCUAAGCCCUAAGCUCUAAACCCUAAUCCCUAAAUCUUAAACCCUAAACCCUAAAUCCUAAACCCCACCCCUUAACUCUAAACCCUAAACCCUAAACCCCACCCCUAAACCUCACCCCUAAACUCUAAACUCUAAACACUAAACCCUAAACCCUAAACCCUAAAUCCUAAACCCCACCCCUUAACUC
rnacentral:lncRNA from 1 species